rnacentral:sRNA from 1 species
UUUAUAAUGUGUUGUUUUUUUUUUUAUUCCAGUUUUAUCCUUGUUAUGUAAUUGUUUUCUAUAAGGCAACCAUAAUGUCCACGUCUGCAGGAAAAAUAAUGGUUGUGAUGCUUGAAAGCUUGGCUGGAACUGGCCAUAAAGUAUUCAGACAACGGCCAAAGACUGGAGAUAAAUUAGAAUUUUUACAUUUUGAUCCAUAUGUUCAAGCACAGGUAUUAUAUAAAGAAGUUAAGAAAAUCAAAACUCUACGUUCAAAAUACAAAUAAAUGACUGCCAACUUUAAUCACAAAAAUAUUUCUUGUUAUUGAUAAUGAAUGCCUUUUUAAAAGAAAAAAAAAAUAUCAGUGAACUGAUAAAUAAAAAUAUAAAUAA